CGGAUCUCUUGGUUCUGGCAUCGAUGAAGAACGCAGCGAAAUGCGAUAAGUAAUGUGAAUUGCAGAAUUCAGUGAAUCAUCGAAUCUUUGAACGCACAUUGCGCCCUCUGGUAUUCCGGAGGGCAUGCCUGUUCGAGCGUCAUUUCAAC
rnacentral:rRNA from 1 species